rnacentral:lncRNA from 1 species
UAAAUUCGCAUAGAAUUGCUCCCUGUCCAUAUAAUAGCUCUCCCUUAUCCUCUCCCUCUCCAAUCUCCCUCUUCCUCUCCUCAGAUCGGGGCGCCGGCUGAGAUCGAGCGGCGGCUGCUCGUUGGGCGGCGAGAGCUCGGCUCCUCCCUCGCCUCUUCUCCCCUCCAAUCCCGGUGGCAGCGGCGGCGGCGGCUCCGCGACAAGGAAGGGCGGCGGGAGCUUGGUUCCUCCCUCCCCUCUUCUCCCCUUCAAUCCCGGCGGCGGCUCGGCGACAAGUGCGGGACAAGGGCGGCGGCUCGGCAACGGCGGCUCAGCGGCGACGACGACGACAGCGACAUGGGAGGGGCCUUGGCGACUUUGACGACGACCGUGACGACGGAGGGCCUCGUCGACAUCGACGGCGCGCGGUGGACGGCGACGAGCGGAUCCGGCACCACCUCCUCCAUCCACCGCGCCACCUCCAUCUCUGCCCCCAGCCACCUCGUCGCCCUUCCCCGCCUCGCUCCCCCAGCCAGGGAAGGGACGGUGGCGCGCGGAUCUGCCGCCUCC